GAUGAACGCUAGCGGCAGGCUUAAUACAUGCAAGUCGAGGGGUAGCAAGAUUGCAGCAAUACAAUUGUUGACGACCGGCAAACGGGUGCGGAACACGUACACAACCUUCCUACAAGUGGGGAAUAGCCCAGAGAAAUUUGGAUUAAUACCCCGUAACAUAGCGAUGUGGCAUCACAUUGCUAUUAUAGCUUCGGCGCUUGUUGAUGGGUGUGCGGCUGAUUAGAUAGUUGGCGGGGUAACGGCCCACCAAGUCUACGAUCAGUAGCUGAUGUGAGAGCAUGAUCAGCCACACGGGCACUGAGACACGGGCCCGACUCCUACGGGAGGCAGCAGUAAGGAAUAUUGGACAAUGGACGCAAGUCUGAUCCAGCCAUGCCGCGUGAAGGAUUAAGGUCCUCUGGAUUGUAAACUUCUUUUAUAAGGGACGAAAAAAGGUCUUUCUAGAUCGUCUGACGGUACCUUAUGAAUAAGCACCGGCUGACUCCGUGCCAGCAGCCGCGGUAAGAC
rnacentral:rRNA from 1 species